rnacentral:rRNA from 1 species
GUAGUCUGCAACCCGACUACAUGAAGCUGGAAUCGCUAGUAAUCGCGGAUCAGAAUGCCGCGGUGAAUACGUUCCCGGGUCUUGUACACACCGCCCGUCACACCAUGGGAGUCGGAAAUGCCCGAAGUCGGUGACCGAACCGAAAGGAAGGAGCCGCCGAAGGCAGGUCUGGUGACUGGGGUGAAGUCGUAACAAGGUAAC